AAAACGACUCUCGGCAACGGAUAUCUCGGCUCUCGCAUCGAUGAAGAACGUAGCGAAAUGCGAUACUUGGUGUGAAUUGCAGAAUCCCGUGAACCAUCGAGUCUUUGAACGCAAGUUGCGCCCGAAGCCUAUGGGCCGAGGGCACGCCUGCCUGGGCGUCACA
rnacentral:rRNA from 1 species